rnacentral:rRNA from 1 species
GUGGAUUAGAUACCCUGGUAGUCCACGCUGUAAACGAUGAAUACUAGGUGUGGGAGGACUGACCCCUUCCGUGCCGCAGUUAACACAAUAAGUAUUCCACCUGGGGAGUACGACCGCAAGGUUGAAACUCAAAGGAAUUGACGGGGGCCCGCACAAGCAGUGGAUUAUGUGGUUUAAUUCGAAGCAACGCGAAGAACCUUACCAGGUCUUGACAUCCGACUAACGAAGUAGAGAUACAUCAGGUGCCCUUCGGGGAAAGUCGAGACAGGUGGUGCAUGGUUGUCGCCAACU